rnacentral:tRNA from 1 species
GGGGUUGUGGCUCAGUGGUUCAGCGCUUGCCUCGCAUGCAGAGGCACUGGGUUUGAUCCUCAGCACCACA